rnacentral:rRNA from 1 species
UACGGAGGGAGCGAACGUUGUUCGGAUUUACUGGGCGUAAAGGGCGUGUAGGCGGCUCUGUAAGUCAGGGGUGAAAUGUCCCGGCUCAACCGGGAACCUGCCCUUGAAACUGCGGAGCUUGAGGUCGUGAGAGGAGACUGGAAUUCCUAGUGUAGCGGUGAAAUGCAUAGAUAUUAGGAAGAACACCAGUGGCGAAGGCGAGUCUCUGGCACGAAUCUGACGCUGAGGCGCGAAAGCUAGGGGAGCAAACGGG